GUCUACGUCCAUACCUCUUGGAAAGCACUGGUUCUCGUCUGAUCACCACAGUUAAAACAAGUCGGGGCCGAAGUUAGUACUUGGAUGGGUGACCUCUUGGGAAUACUUCGUGUCGUAGGCU